CCUACGGGUGGCUGCAGUGGGGAAUAUUGGACAAUGGGCGAAAGCCUGAUCCAGCCAUGCCGCGUGUGUGAAGAAGGCCUUCGGGUUGUAAAGCACUUUCAGUGGGGAAGAAAGCCUUGGGGCUAAUACCCUCGAGGAAGGACAUCACCCACAGAAGAAGCACCGGCUAACUCCGUGCCAGCAGCCGCGGUAAUACGGAGGGUGCGAGCGUUAAUCGGAAUUACUGGGCGUAAAGCGCGCGUAGGCGGUCUGAUAAGCCGGUUGCGAAAGCCCCGGGCUCAACCUGGGAACGGCAUCCGGAACUGUCAGGCUAGAGUGCAGGAGAGGAAGGUAGAAUUCCCGGUGUAGCGGUGAAAUGCGUAGAGAUCGGGAGGAAUACCAGUGGCGAAGGCGGCCUUCUGGACUGACACUGACGCUGAGGUGCGAAAGCGUGGGUAGCAAACAGGAUUAGAUACCCGGGUAGUC
rnacentral:rRNA from 1 species